rnacentral:tRNA from 1 species
GCGGCCGUGGUCUAGUCUGGACUAGGACGUGGGCUUUCCGAGCCCAAUACCCGGGUUCAAAUCCCGGCGGCCGCA